AAUAGAUACCCAGGUAGUCCUAGCCGUAAACGAUACUCGCUAGGUGUCGGCCACGGUGCGACCGUUGUCGGUGCCGUAGGGAAGCCGUGAAGCGAGCCACCUGGGAAGUACGGCCGCAAGGCUGAAACUUAAAGGAAUUGGCGGGGGAGCACCACAACGGGUGGAGCUUGCGGUUUAAUUGGAUUCAACGCCGGAAAUCUUACCGGGACCGACAGCAAUAUGAAGGCCAGGCUGAAGACUUUGCCGGAUUAGCUGAGAGGUGGUGCAUGGCCGUCGUCAGUUCGUACUGUGAAGCAUCCUGUUAAGUCAGGCAACGAGCGAGACCCACGCCCACAGUUGCCAGCGUACUCUCUGGAGUGACGGGUACACUGUGGGGACCGCCGCUGCUAAAGCGGAGGAAGGAAUGGGCAACGGUAGGUCAGUAUGCCCCGAAUAUCCCGGGGCUACACGCGAGCUACAAUGGUUGGUACAAUGGGUAUCUACCCCGAAAGGGACGGGAAUCUCCUAAAACCAAUCUUAGUUCGGAUUGAGGGCUGCAACUCGCCCUCA
rnacentral:rRNA from 1 species